CGCCAGACUCCUACGGGAGGCAGCAGUGGGGAAUAUUGCACAAUGGGGGAAACCCUGAUGCAGCGACGCCGCGUGAGUGAAGAAGUAUUUCGGUAUGUAAAGCUCUAUCAGCAGGGAAGAAAAUGACGGUACCUGACUAAGAAGCCCCGGCUAACUACGUGCCAGCAGCCGCGGUAAUACGUAGGGGGCAAGCGUUAUCCGGAUUUACUGGGUGUAAAGGGAGCGUAGACGGCAUGGCAAGUCAGAUGUGAAAGCCCGGGGCUCAACCCCGGGACUGCAUUUGAAACUGUCAGGCUGGAGUGCAGGAGAGGUAAGUGGAAUUCCUAGUGUAGCGGUGAAAUGCGUAGAUAUUAGGAGGAACACCAGUGGCGAAGGCGGCUUACUGGACUGUAACUGACGUUGAGGCUCGAAAGCGUGGGGAGCAAACAGGAUUAGAUACCCGAGUAU
rnacentral:rRNA from 1 species